rnacentral:rRNA from 1 species
AGUUGUAAUUUGCAGAGGAUGCUUUGGGUACGGUGCCUUCCGAGUUCCCUGGAACGGGACGCCAUAGAGGGUGAGAGCCCCGUACGGCUGGCGGCCAAGCCCAUGUAAAGCUCCUUCGA